rnacentral:rRNA from 1 species
GACGAACGCUGGCGGCGUGCUUAACACAUGCAAGUCGAACGGUAAGGCCCUUCGGGGUACACGAGUGGCGAACGGGUGAGCAACACGUGGGUGAUCUGCCCUGCACUUCGGGAUAAGCCUGGGAAACUGGGUCUAAUACCGGAUAGGGCCACUGCCUGCAUGGGUGGUGGUGGAAAGCUUUUGCGGUGUGGGAUGGGCCCGCGGCCUAUCAGCUUGUUGGUGGGGUGAUGGCCUACCAAGGCGACGACGGGUAGCCGGCCUGAGAGGGUGACCGGCCACACUGGGACUGAGAUACGGCCCAGACUCCUACGGGAGGCAGCAGUGGGGAAUAUUGCACAAUGGGCGCAAGCCUGAUGCAGCGACGCCGCGUGAGGGAUGACGGCCUUCGGGUUGUAAACCUCUUUCAGCACCGACGAAGCGCAAGUGACGGUAGGUGCAGAAGAAGGACCGGCCAACUACGUGCCAGCAGCCGCCGUAA